CUGGAAAAUGAAUACUAAGCUUAGUGGCUGGUGGUGCUUGAAUGUGGCUGGGGAUUUGAGAUUUGAAAGAGCCAAACUAACAUCUAAGAGUUGAUGAUUGGUCCAUUGAAGAGAAUAGCAGCACUCUUUCUUUCCCGUCAUAGGAAGAGAGGGAUAUAACAUUGACCGAUUAAACUAGAUGAUCUAGCUGUGAGUAAUUUGGUUACUUCAUAUGACUCAAAAGCUAUAUCUAGGGCAUUACUUCUUCAUUUUAAGAAGCACCUCCAGACCAAAAUACAUUAUGUCGUUUUACAAGAAUUGCUAAAGUUGAGACUUUGAGUGCCUUUUUCAUUAUGUCAUGUAAAAAGUUUCAUGUUA